UUGCAAGCGUAAUCCCCAGGCGGAAAACUUCACGCGUUAGCUUGACCACCGCUCGUUGUAUUUCGCUCGGCAGUGAGUUUUCAUCGUUUACGGCUAAAAUUACUAGGGUAUCUAAUCCUAAUCACUCCUUUAGCUUUCGUCUCUGAGCGUCAGGUAAAGCCCAGUACAGUGCCUUCGCCAUAUUGGUGUUCCUCCCGAUAUCUACGCAUUUCACCGCUCCACCGGGAAUUCCCUGUACCUCUACUUACCUCAAGUAUAGAAGUUUCCUUUGCUGGAUCUCGGUUGAGCCGAGGUAUUUAACAAAAGACUUUCUAUACAGCCUACAGACGCUUUACGCCCAAUCAUUCCGAAUAACACUUGCAUCCUCCGUCUUACCGCGGCUGCUGGCACGGAGUUAGCCGAUGCUUAUUCCUCGAAUACCGUCAGAGCUUCUUCUUCGAGAAAAGAAGUUUACAACCCGCAGGCCGUCAUCCUUCACGCAGCGUCGCUCCGUCAGACUUUCGUCCAUUGCGGAAAAUUCCCCACUGCUGCCUCCCGUAGGAGUUUGGACCGUGUCUCAGUUCCAAUGUGGCUGUUCAUCCUCUCAGACCAGCUACUGAUCGUCGCCUUGGUGCGCCAUUACCGCACCAACUAGCUAAUCAGACGCAAGAUCAUCCCUCGGCGAAAUUCUUUCACUCCACAGCGUAUCGGGUAUUAGCUUUCGUUUCCAAAAGUUGUCCCCGACCGAGGGGCAGAUUCUUACGUGUUCCUCACCCGUUCGCCACUCUUCCACAUUCCGAAGAAUGCUUCAUCGUUCGACUUGCAUGUGUUAUGCACGCUGCCAGCGUUCCUUCUGAGCCAGGAUCAAACUCU
rnacentral:rRNA from 1 species